rnacentral:rRNA from 1 species
CCUACGGGUGGCUGCAGUGAGGAAUAUUGGUCAAUGGUCGGGCGACUGAACCAGCCAAGCCGCGUGAGGGAUGAAGGUACAGAGUAUCGUAAACCUCUUUUGUCAGGGAACAAAGGCGGGGACGUGUCUCCGGAUGAGUGUACCUGAAGAAAAAGCAUCGGCUAACUCCGUGCCAGCAGCCGCGGUAAUACGGAGGUUGCGAGGGUUAUCCGGAUUUAUUGGGUUAAAAGGGUGCGCAGGCGGUUUGUUAAGUCAGCGGGAAAAGCUCGGGGCGCAACCCCGGACCGCCGUUGAAACUGGCAGUCUCGAGUGGGAGAGAAGUAUGCAGAAUGCGCGGUGUAGCGGUGAAAUGCAUAGAUAUCGCGCAGAACUCCGAUUGCGAAGGCAGCAUGCCGGCUCCACACUGACGCUGAGGCACGAAAGCGUGGGUAUCGAACAGGAUUAGAUACCCCAGUAGUC